rnacentral:rRNA from 1 species
AACGAACGCUGGCGGCAGGCUUAACACAUGCAAGUCGAGCGCCCCGCAAGGGGAGCGGCAGACGGGUGAGUAACGCGUGGGAACGUACCUUUUGGUUCGGAACAACUCCGGGAAACUGGAGCUAAUACCGGAUAAGCCCUAACGGGGAAAGAUUUAUCGCCGAAAGAUCGGCCCGCGUCUGAUUAGCUAGUUGGUGAGGUAACGGCUCACCAAGGCGACGAUCAGUAGCUGGUCUGAGAGGAUGAUCAGCCACACUGGGACUGAGACACGGCCCAGACUCCUACGGGAGGCAGCAGUGGGGAAUAUUGGAGAAUGGGCGCAAGCCUGAUCCAGCCAUGCCGCGUGAGUGAUGAAGGCCUUAGGGUUGUAAAGCUCUUUUGUCCGGGAAGAUAAUGACUGUACCGGAAGAAUAAGCCCCGGCUAACUUCGUG